CAGCUUCAAACAAAUCUGCAUCACACUGGGGGUUUCCACCCCUUUUUCUCUGUCAAUGAUCCCCAUUUGUCCCCAGGGCCCGGGGUUUCAGGUCCUGCUGCAGCAAGACCCCUCAAGAAAACCAUGUUUAUAGCUGGAGUCAUUCAUGAUCUUAACAAUGAGAAUCAAUGAUCCUGUUCAGUGAAUAACAGCUCAGACGGUGCUCAUAACCUGAACGGGCUCUGAAGCUGGCAUACAAGAGGAGUUCAGAGGCACACUCACAGCUCUGAUAUGGCUGGUUCCGGAUGGAUUCUGGUAUCAACUGCAAAGUACUUGGAAGCAGCACUCUGACUUUCAACUCUUCUUGGGAAGCUUGGCUCGUGAGUCUAGACUCCUUCUACCUUCACAGUGAGUGUCUUCUAAAGUAGGGGUCCCUAACCCCCAGGCCACAGACUGGUACAGUCCGUGGCCUGUUAGGAACCAGGCCGCACAGCAGGAGGUGAACAGCAGGCGAGUGAGCAAAGCUUCAUCUGCAUUUACAGCCGCUCCCCAUCGCUCGCAUUACCACCUGAGCUCCGCUUCCUGUCAGC